GUAGUAGCUCAGUGGUAGAGCACAUGCCCAGUACAGGUGAGGUACUGGGUUCAAUUCUCAGCACCACA
rnacentral:tRNA from 1 species